GUGGGGAAUAUUGCACAAUGGGGGAAACCCUGAUGCAGCAACGCCGCGUGAGUGAUGACGGUCUUCGGAUUGUAAAGCUCUGUCUUCAGGGACGAUAAUGACGGUACCUAAGGAGGAAGCCACGGCUAACUACGUGCCAGCAGCCGCGGUAAUACGUAGGUGGCAAGCGUUGUCCGGAUUUACUGGGCGUAAAGGGAGCGUAGGUGGAUAUUUAAGUGGGAUGUGAAAUACUCGGGCUUAACCUGGGUGCUGCAUUCCAAACUGAAUAUCUAGAGUGCAGGAGAGGAAAGUAGAAUUCCUAGUGUAGCGGUGAAAUGCGUAGAGAUUAGGAAGAAUACCAGUGGCGAAGGCGACUUUCUGGACUGUAACUGACACUGAGGCUCGAAAGCGUGGGGAGCAAACAGGAUUAGAUACCCGUGUAGUCC
rnacentral:rRNA from 1 species